GAUGAAGAACGUAGCGAAAUGCGAUAAGUAAUGUGAAUUGCAGAAUUCAGUGAAUCAUCGAAUCUUUGAACGCACAUUGCGCCCGCCAGUAUUCUGGCGGGCAUGCCUGUUCGAGCGUCAUUACAACCCUCAGGCCCCCGGGCCUGGCGUUGGGGAUCGGCGGAAGCCCCCUGCGGGCACAACGCCGUCCCCCAAAUACAGUGGCGGUCCCGCCGCAGCUUCCAUUGCGUAGUAGCUAACACCUCGCAACUGGAGAGCGGUGCGGCCACGCCGUAAAACACCCAACUUCUGAAUGUUGACCUCGAAUCAGGUAGGAAUACCCGCUGAACUUAAGCAUAUCAAUAAGCGGAGGA
rnacentral:misc_RNA from 1 species